CGUUGUGCAUGAGUGGGAAGGGACAGAAUCAGGAGGAAGAAGAACUAGGAAAUGGGCUACCACUGGCCCCAAGCCAAAGCAAAGGGCCAAUGACUGAUAAGCUUCAAAUUUAGGUUUUUUGGGGAGGGUGAGUAGUUCAGAGAAUAAGUUUAUCAACCCAAAAUGAAGUCGUAAUUCUCUCGGUAUAAGUAAACUAAGCAUUGGGUUGGACUACAUAUAUACAUUUUUUUUUUUAAUCUAUUGAUUGAGAACAAGCUUUAGAAAUUCAUAAGUGAACUCAUGCUAGUAUAUUAGAGGAAUGAAUGGUUAGCUAAAAAUGUAUAUGGUGUGAAUGAUAAAAUAAAUCUCACCUUGAUGAGAAAAGGGACCUUGUGUGAAUGUAUAAGUAAAUUGGGCUACUGCUCAUGUUGCCAAUUGGUUUUAUGAUUCAACCUCAAUAUUCUUCAUGGUAUCAUAGCAGGCUGUCUGACAGCUAAACGUGCUCCACAUCAUGUCGUUUGUGUUGUCUACGUGUUUAGCUUGAAAAUUCACCACAUAUGAGGGGACGUGUUGAAAAUGAAUCCCAUGUUUAUGGAAGAAAAGACAUUGCCUAGGCUAUAAGUAAGUUGGGCUACUUUCCAUAUUGCCAAUUACUUUUAUGGUGGAACCUUAGUUGUCUUUAUGAUAUGCUUUAGAAAACUAGGGUUUACAAGAAAAUUAUGAUGCAUAUUUUGUUGUGUGCGCAUUGCUAAUGUGUAAACAAAAUUGUUAAAUUUUAGAAAUGAGAGAAAUCAAGUACAAGGUAAGUGGAUUAUUCUGGUAGUUAGAGUAAUAAUCUUCAACUCAUUACGUUUUGUGUUCGAAUCAUUUCAUAUCCCUUUUAAUACAGAUUAGUGUAGAAUAUCAUUUCUAAUAAAAAUAAGUAAAAAAUCGAUUACCAAGCACUUAAAUAUCAAUGUUUCAUAUGGCCGAUGAACCAUAGAAAGUCGAAGUUAAUUUAUAUCACAUUCUAAUACCACUUCUAACUUGACUACUCUUUUGUGCACGAUGACGAGCAACAAACUGGCGAAUAGUACUUCACCCAAUUGUUGUAACCCUACCUAGAGCCCCGCGUCUUUUCUCACCCAAAAAACCCAAAAUCUGAAACCUCCUAGCCGCCACCCCUUGCUCUGGUUUGAGGUCGGCGGCAGCCCCUCCCAUCGUCUUCUAGUCCUCCCUUUUCUUCCCCUUCCAUUUUCACCCUCUGAAUCUUUUCUAUUCACCCACCUUCCCUACGUUUCCUCCCUCAUUUCACUUUAUUUCCAGCUACUCCUCUCCCUCAUUCUCCCACAUCUUUCUCCUUAUCCACCACUUCUCUCCCAUUUUUCCCUUCCCUUUCCCAUUUUCUCUUCCUUUUAUUUUUCAUUCUCUCCCCCUUUUAUUUUCCCUCUUUGCUUGUUGUAUUUCAAUACAAUUUGGUCAAGAUGGUAGCUUGCCUCAUCUCCCUAAUGAUGGUGGCCUGCCCCAUCUCCCCAAUGAUUGCCCCAUCUAUUCUCAGAUAGUGGUGUGUUCCAAUCUCUGAGUGUCAGCCUUUGUGGGCUUAAGAAAAUUUUCAAUUCAAAAACUUGAUUUGCCAUAUUUUGGUUAUCCUUUAAUUUCUCCCCAUUAUGUAAUGGAUUUUCAUUAGCCCCAAAUAAACCUCAAAUCCUUAAUCCAUACUACAUAUCCAACCCUCGAGACUAUCUUUUGCUAUCAAUUUGCCCACUUUCAAUUGAGGAGUACGAUUGUGCUCCUGUGUCCGAUGCCCACCUCAAGAGUGAAUCGUCGCUCAUGCAGGUGAAGGGUAUUUGGGGCUAUUGAAGGUCUUUGUCUGGAAGGAUGGAAGAUCAACAAAUGUUAUUUUGUGGUGCAAAAUUGGUGGUGUGAGUUGUCGGCCAUUUCUGGUUUUCGGGUAGCUGCAGCAGGUCAUCUAGCACUUGGGCUUUUAGGGUUUUCUUUACUAGCCACCUUUAGGUCGAUGACUAAUCUUCUUAUGUUAAAACGCAUUUAUGUUUUUUCAUUUAUGUACUAUUUUGUAAUUGUUGCAAUGAAGAACCAUUACUCCUUCAA